rnacentral:snRNA from 1 species
AGAAUGGCGUGAACCCGGGAGGUGGAGCUUGCAAUGAGCUGAGAUGGUGCCACUGCACUCCAGCCUGGGCAACAGAG